rnacentral:rRNA from 1 species
CCUACGGGUGGCACCAGUGGGGAAUAUUGCGCAAUGGGGGAAACCCUGACGCAGCGACGCCGCGUGAGCGAAGAAGGCCUUCGGGUUGUAAAGCUCUGUUGUAAGGGACGAAAGAUCAAGGGAAUAACUGCCCUUGAAGUGACGGUACCUUACCAGCAAGCCCCGGCUAACUACGUGCCAGCAGCCGCGGUAAGACGUAGGGGGCGAGCGUUGUCCGGAAUUACUGGGCGUAAAGAGCACGUAGGCGGAUGUAUAAGUCAGGUGUGAAAGACCGCAGCCUAACUGCGGGGUUGCACUUGAAACUGUAUAUCUUGAGGGCAGGAGAGGUUAGUAGAAUUCCUGGUGUAGCGGUGAAAUGCGUAGAAAUCAGGAGGAAUACCAGUGGCGAAGGCGACUGACUGGACUGACCCUGACGCUGAGGUGCGAAAGCGUGGGUAGCAAACAGGAUUAGAUACCCUGGUAGUC